rnacentral:tRNA from 1 species
GGGGUUGUAGCUCAGUGGUAGAGCACUUGCCUAGCAUGCUAGAGGCCCUAGAUUCGAUCCCA